rnacentral:rRNA from 1 species
GACGUAGGGGGCGAGCGUUGUCCGGAAUUACUGGGCGUAAAGAGCACGUAGGCGGGUAAUUAAGUCAGAUGUGAAAGACCAGGGCCUAACCCUGGGGUUGCAUCUGAAACUGGUUAUCUUGAGGGCAGGAGAGGGCAGUGGAAUUCCUGGUGUAGCGGUGAAAUGCGUAGAAAUCAGGAGGAACACCAGUGGCGAAGGCGGCUGCCUGGACUGACCCUGGCGCUGAGGUGCGAAAGCGUGGGUAGCAAACAGG